UAUUUCCGGGAAGACUCUCACUAGACAAGAAACUAAAGCCAUCUAAGAAUUACAGAGGAAUGAAGAAUUUUUGAUAAAGGAAGCAGACAAGGGUGGCAAUGUGGUACUGUGAUUACUUUCAGAGGAAGUAUCUGCAUAUAUUGGAUGCAGCACAAGAAUUUGGAAUCAGCAGUAAAAGGGAACACCUAUUUAUAAAGCAUCUGGUUACAUCUUUGCCAUCAUACAUCCGGGACUCAAUGCACCUAAUAC